GUAGAUAUAGUUUGAACAAAAACAGUAGAUUGUGAUUCUGAAAAUAGAGGUUAGAGUCCCCUUAUCCACC
rnacentral:tRNA from 1 species